UAGAUAAAGGAAAAACUUGAUAUCUUUUAUUGAUAAUGAAUUCAAAGAAAGACUUAGAACAAGUAUUUAUAAAACCAAAAAUACAACUAACUUGGCAAAACAAAAAACUAACUAACUAAUAUUAACACACUUAACACAUGUCUAAAAUAUGGAAACUAUCAAGAGAAAGGUUGCUUGUAUUUCACACAAACAUUGCUGCAACAAUAUCCUUGGGCUUGAGCAAGUCUUGGCUGAGACAACCUACACAACACAAAUCGUGACUGUAGGUGGCAGGGUCAGAGGACUGGGUGAGUUGGCCUUUUGUCUUAGGCUUGACUCGGUCAGAUAAACAAACUAGUUGGUGUAUUACUUUAUUUUCCUCGGGCAGAUGCGUUACUUCACUUCCCUCAGUUAGAUGGUGCACUGCAUGCAUUGCUUCACUUUCCUCGGUCAGGCGAUGCACUGCUUUACUUCCCUCGGUCAGAUGGUCUGUCACAUGAGCCAUUACCUACAUACACAUACAUUCAGAAUUAGUAGAAAUUGGCGAGAUUGCUGCAUUAUUCUCAGGCUAGGGCACAUGUCUUGGAGCAUGCUGGUUUGGCCUUGGCUCAUGCCUUGGCCUAACCUGAUUGAUUCAUGGCGCACCAAUAUUUACUUUUGGCGCAUCAUGGCCUAUGCUUGGCACAUGGGAACCAGUUUGCUUGGACAAAAAAUUAACUAGCUUAGGCAUAUGGUUGGUCAUUUUAUGUAUCUUGUUUGAUACCUCUCCCCCACCCCCACCCCCACCCCCACACACACACACACACCCCCUCUUUCGUGUAGAAUGGGACUAGGUAACAAUUUUAUGAUGUAUGCAACAUGAGCAAUAACAUAAGACCAAUAUAUUUUUGGUAAGUUACUUUGGAUAAGGAGGGUUCUUGCUAUAUUCAAGAGAUCUUGGUGUUUUCUCUCAACACUUCUAUUUUGUUGAGGAGUAUAUGUGCAUGAAGUGUGAUGUAUAUCGAGCCCCAAUUUUCGGCCGAUACCGGUCACGCGACUAGUUUGGAAUCGCCACCACAUUUUUGCGGUAAAAAACGUAGAAAACUCUUUCGAUGCCCAAAUGUUGGAAAGGCUUGGCUUUUAAACUAGAUCUCUGAACUCGGGAGUUGGUUACGGGUCGGGGAAUAUAUUAGUACCACGUCCGCCUAUUAUUAAACCAUACCCACAAUAAUCGCAUAACACUAAAUAUACCCAAAAGCUUAUUUAAAUCAAAUAAUUAUUUAUUGAAAAAAAUAUUUAUUUUUUUAUUUUUCUGUCUGACAAGAGUUCAUCUUGCUCAUACGUAUCGCCAAGUGCAAUAGGGAAAUUAAGAAUACGUAGUUCUUGGUAGAAAAAUGUUUGGUGUGUUGGAUUGAUUUUAGUUAUAAAAAUUUGUUUGAGAAAUGUGUAAGAUGAUUGUGAGUAGAUAGGAUUAAAGAAGAGGAUACAACUUUGCUCUACAUCAUUUUACCCACAUUAAAAAAGAAGAUUCAGUACGACAGUCGCUCACCGCUUUUAAUUAAAUAGAAUAAUCAGAUAAGAGCCCAACUUAUAUCGUCUUAUCCAUAUUAACAAGAAAUGACUCAAAUUGUUAAUUGAUAUGGUUAAGGAGAGAGAUACAACUUUACCCUACAUCACUUUACCCAUUAAAAAAAACGAGGUGGUACGACAACCGCUCACCACUUUCAUUAAAUAGGGUAAUGAGAUAAAGACUUGUUAUAUAUUGUCUUAUAUAUUAGAGAGAAAAAAGAAGCAGUAUGACAAUCGUUCAUCGCUUUCCUAAUAAUAUGAUAAUAAAAUAAUACUCAAGUUGACACUCCUUCUCUAACCUAAGAACUUUAAAUGAUUUUUUAUUGAAUUAGUUUUAUGGAAAAAAUCUACUAUUUCAAAGACUUAUUCCAUAAAAUAAUAAUGAUUAUGACAUUUGAUUUUCAUAUUGGAAGUUUUCAAAAAAUGUUCUUAUUUAUUGAUAGUUCAAAUAAAAAUGAGGCAUAUUAAUUAGUAUAAUGACUUUUGAUAUUUACAAGAAACGACAUUAAUGAUCAAUUGAUUAUUUUAUUUUUAAAAUUGUCAAAUGAAAUUUGUUAUUAAAAAUUAGGGUAAAAUUUUUUCCCAUUAUCCUAGAAAGAAGAGGCAAUACAACAAUCGCUUACUGCUUUUCUAUUAGAAGGGAAAGGAAUAUAUGAUUCGUUCUAUUCACCAAUUUCUCAAAUUCUCACAUUAAAUUAUAUUUUCACGCUCGGGCAAAAAUAGAAUCAUUAAUAAAGAUAUACAUAUUUUGUUGUUUUUAUGAUUUAUAAAGGAGUAUGAACAACUAUAUGACCACAAUGAAAUAAUAAAAAUAUCAACGGGCAACAAACAAAUAGCAACAUGGACAUAUAUAUACAUACAUAUUAAUAUUUAUAUUUAUAUAUAGUAUCAAACAAAGAUAUCACUAACUCUAAACCAUAAUAGGGAUAAGGAUAUACAUUAAUUAAAAUGGAACAAUUAAUAUAAAUAUAUUAAGAAUUUAAACCAAAAAAAAAAGAACAAAAAAGUAAAAAAUAUAAACAAGGGAAAAGAGGGGGGUCAUCUUUCCCACCUGGACUGUGAUCAUGUGAUGUGAGUCCAGGGACCCAACCCAGAACAGAGCAGGCAUCAGAGAAAGGGAAAGAUAUCCCGACUGGAGCAGGGCACCACCGUAGUGUGGUGGGACCGAAUCUGACGACCCACAAUGGUGUCAAUGCGGACACUAUACCGGAGCGAAAAGCUUGGUCAAGCCACACAACGACUUACGUGAAUGUGUAAUGGCACCCCCACACAAGGGUAACCUCCAUUGGCAUAUCCGCCAUAUCUAGGAGCGACUUGAAUAAGAGGGUGCCACUAGUGAGUUUAAAACCCUCAUUUCUCUUUGAUUUAAUUUGUAGUUCAUAUCAUAGUGAAUGAAUACAUAGAAUGGUAGUGAAAAACAACAUAGCCAAUAUUACAAGGCAUGAAAUACAAACCGUAUAAAAAUGAGAGUAUGAUAACGAGUUCCUUUUCUAAGAACAUAAAACACAUAAAUUAGGUAAGAAGUGAACCUAAAAGUGUUGCAUCCAAAGAGAAAUGGCUCCAGGGGAAGGGAAUGUGUCUUGCUUUUCUAUCUCCUUUUUCGAAAUAAAGCCACCUUUCUCUAUUGCCUUAUGUUACUCUUAUCUUCUUUUAUUUUUCUUUUGCCAAAAG
rnacentral:lncRNA from 1 species